GUCAAUAUGGCUACUGGGUGUAAAAGAUAAAUCUUAUUCUAUCUGUUCUUAAUGAGUUUUAGAUAAUUUUAGUUGUAUUUCUUUGUAAUUUUGUGUUGUACAAAGAUUAAUUUAACAUUUUCUCUGGAAGUAUUAAUUUAGAAAGAUAAUAUGCUUCAUUGGUGUUGUGUUUUGAAGUGUGAAAUGUGAUAAAGUCAAGAUAAAGUUCACUUUUAAACUGAACUAAAUAAGGUAUCUGAGAGACAACAAUGGUUAAAUGCAAUACAAUGUACAGGUUUUACUAGCGAAAUGAAAAUUUUCCUGUCCUGUCUGCUGUAAUCAUUUUAUAUCUGGAAAACCAGCCGACUUAAUAGAUAAUAACAAUCUCCAGAUUGGGUUCCUUCAAUAAAUAUGGGCUAUAAACACAAUGAAAUAAGUUCCCCAAAAUCUAAAAUGGAGUGCUAUCAAAGGAGAAUUAAAGG
rnacentral:lncRNA from 1 species